AUGAACAUCCGGACUGACUGAGACCAUUGGAGGUAGUUGUUACCAUUGAAUUUCCUAAUGGAAGCUCCUCCAGAGCCUGAGAGACCAUUAGAGGUAGUUUUUACCAUUGAAUUUAUUAAUGGAAGCUCCUCCAGAGUCUGGUUCAGAUCCGGAAUUGUUGUUGUUGUUGGCUGUCAUCUCAGUUUCGGAGACGACAAAAGAAGGAUGAAUGAUAGAAGAAGAAGAGUGGUUUGGAGAGGAAGAAGGUGAAACAGUCUCGUCGUCUGUGGUCAUGGUGAACCAACGGUGAGAUUAACACCGACGGCAGCGGAAGAUGUAGCCGGCGGCUCUGAUACCAUAUUCAAUAUAUGAGAGAAAACUUUCAAUUGUAUUAUGAUAUGAAGGAUUACAUAAAGGGUACAUAGAUUUAUAUAGAGCUAGAAUAGAAGAAUCAGUUCUCAACUAUUAAAACUUUAAAUAUUAUUCUUA
rnacentral:lncRNA from 1 species